rnacentral:lncRNA from 1 species
UCAAGAAAGCUUUUUGACUGCCUUUUGCCUACUCCAGGUGCAUCCAUCCCCAAAUGGCACAAGAAGUGGGGUCACCAGCUUGUCACUCCACUUCUGAAAGGUUGUUGACCUUUGGAUGAAACCUCAGAGAAUGGGAAAUCGACCCACAGGUUAUAGAGCCAGCUGCAAGGAUACAACAAAUAUCAAAGGAAGGAGAAAUUCUGGAGAGGCAAGAUGACACCCAGCAGAGAGAUGCAGGACAGCAGCACUGGAAGACAUCAACAACUCUUCAGAUUUGGAGAUAUGAAUUUCCCUGAGAUGCUUUCCCCAAAAGGAUGGAAGUUGUGGACUCGUGCAUGAUCACAGAUUCAAAAUUAGAAGAGACGUUAAAAAUCACUGG